AAAAAGAGGACAGAGAACAGGUCUACACAAAACUGGUUUUUGAGGCAGAAGUGUCCCACCAGAUGCAAGCAAUGGGAAAUCAGGAGGAAGACGAGGGAAGCUCAAGCACAAAGCUGUCAGGAUUCAAUGAAGAGACCACAGCUCCAAAUGAGUCACCUCCUUGUAAGAAGAAAGCCUUAGAUGCGCUGUUUGGCGAUUCCUUCACCCAAAGAGAAAGAAAAUCCACAAGCGAGACAGCCAGAGCAGAGGUGUUAAGGUACCGAGCAAAAGAUGCGUUGCCUUUGACUGAAAAUGCUAUGAAGUGGUGGAGAUCUCAGGAGAAAGAGCUACCUGUACUUUCCACCCUUGCUAAACGGUACCUGUGCAUUCCAGGCACCAGUGUGCCAGCAGAACGAGUUUUUAGUACUGCUGGCGACAUAGUGAACGCACAGAGAAGUGUUCUGCGGCCAGAUCAUGUUGAUCA